AACGUAGGAGACAAACGUUAUCCGGAGUUACUGGGCGUAAAGGGCGCGUAGGCGGCUCGGCACGUCCGUUGUGAAAUCGCCCGGCUCAACUGGGCGGGGUCAGCGGAUACGGUCGAGCUUGAGCAAGCUAGGGGGCAAUGGAAUUCCCGGUGUAGUGGUGGAAUGCGUAGAUAUCGGGAGGAACACCGGUGGCGAAGGCGGGUCUCUGGGCAAUUCCUGACGCUGAGGCGCGAAAGCGUGGGGAGCAAACGGG
rnacentral:rRNA from 1 species